GGGGUUGACUGGAUUUGACAGCGGGUCGAGGUGAUACGUAAGCAUGCGGAGUGACGGCUGUAAACUCCAUAAUCCAUUCGGCCGACAAUUUAAUUGGCGAAAACAAUUACGCUCUCGCUGCCUAAUCGAAGUACAGUAGAUUACUGGCUUUAUUCCGUCACCAGGUGAUGGAACGAGACAUCGCCCAAGAGGAUGUGGUUCCGAAUCUUCUUGAACCGGCGGUGCAGGUAAAUCGGAAAUAGUCUGUUCAGGUCCCAAUGUUCAGAUGAAAGUUUAGGGAAUAAGGUAUCGGUUGGUGGUCCGGGUCUUGUCGAUGCACGAAAAUGAAGUCCGGAAUAAGCAUGUAGAAAGCGUGUUGUUUCCCUGUUUGGACGAGGGUUCGAAUCCCUCCAGCUCCAC
rnacentral:tmRNA from 1 species